CCUCACCACAGUCUGUUCCCAGCAACAACCUACAUGUUGGAAUGGACAAAGGACGUGCAUGAUGGACGGUAGAUGGCCAGCCUUAGGGUGGGAGACACUCCUGGCUACAGAGACAGCGUCACCCUGUUCCCAGGCUUCUCAUGUGCAGAGUGAAGAUGAACACAGCUCUUUAUGCGGCAAAGUUUGCUUAGGAUGCAGGGGGAGGCACUGCUUCUGGGCCGAUCCAGAGAGCUCUAGAUGCCAGACACAGGAGCCAGAAGGCUUUGUUGAUGGGGUUGGUGACACACCUUGCGGUGUAUGCACAUGUAGACACUCAGCACCUGGUGCCCACACGAUGCCCUCUUCAAGCAUCUAGCAAAUACUCUCCAGGAUUAUAUCUACGUGGUGUGAAGAAAGACCUUUAUCUUCCACGUUGCCCCCACCCACACCACAAGAUCACCAGCCACUGCAGGAGCUCCCCUCCCCCACCAGCUGACUGGCUGGCCCCCACCCGGGCCCAUCUGCUCUGCAUGUGUAAGCAUUGUCAAAUUGUUUGAAUAAAUUGUCACUCUGAUUAAAA